rnacentral:rRNA from 1 species
GGCCAGACUCCUACGGGAGGCAGCAGUGAGGAAUAUUGGUCAAUGGGCGGAAGCCUGAACCAGCCAAGUCGCGUGAGGGAAGAAGGCCCUGCGGGUCGCAGACCUCUUUGGACGGGGAGCAAGGCCGCCGACGUGUCGGCGGAAGGAGAGUACCCGUAGAACAAGCAUCGGCUAACUCCGUGCCAGCAGCCGCGGUAAUACGGAGGAUGCGAGCGUUAUCCGGAUUUAUUGGGUUUAAAGGGUGCGCAGGCGGCACGGCAAGCCGGCGGUCAAAUCGCGGGGCUCAACCCCGCCCAGCCGUCGGAACUGCCGGGCUAGAGUGGGCGAGAAGUGCGCGGAAUGCGUGGUGUAGCGGUGAAAUGCGUAGAUAUUAGGAGGAACACCAGUGGCGAAGGCGGCUUGCUGGGCUUUUACUGACGCUGAGGCUCGAAAGUGUGGGGAGCAAACAGGAUUAGAUACCCGAGUA